UCCGACGUGGUGUAGUGGCUAGCAUACCGCGCUUUCAUCAGUGAAAGUCCCGCGGCGAUCCGGGUUCGACUCCCGGCGCCGGAA
rfam:Trichoderma gamsii strain T6085 Scaffolds0024.1, whole genome shotgun sequence.